rnacentral:tRNA from 1 species
GGGGAGAUAGUUUAAUGGUAGAACGAUAGUCUCCAAAACUAUUGGUUUAUGUUCGAGUCGUAAUCUCCCCG